rnacentral:rRNA from 1 species
ACUUAUAAUCUUCGGAAAUGUAGUCUGUUGAGACCACGCCAGUUCUUGACGGAGGGUUAAAUCCCCUGGAAUGGGGUACAAGAUAGGGUGAAAGUCCCAUUCAAGCCUUCUGUCUGAGUGUACGGCCAGUCUUCAUUGAGUCGAGUUGCUUGGGAUUGCAGCUCAAAGUGGGUGGUAAAUUCCAUCUAAAGCUAAAUAUAGGUGAGAGACCGAUAGCAAACAAGUACCGUGAGGGAAAGAUGAAAAGAACUUUGAAAAGAGAGUUAAAGAGUACCUGAAAUUGCUAGAAUGGAACCGAUGGGAAGUAGUGUUGCGGGCGACAUUGUCCAACUUGUUUACAAGCUGGAAAUUUUGUUGCAUAGCAGUCAUUCUCGAUUACUUCCGCCAAAGACCACCUCGAACUGUAUAGUUCAAGGAACCCUUGUGGGAUGGAUCGAAAUUGACGAAAUACUUCUCAUCAUCCCGUCUUGAAACACGGACCAAGGAGUCUAACAUGUCUGCAAGUGCUUGGAGUUUACCUCCGUGCGCGAAAUUAACGUAAAGUCGGACUUGUCCGAUGAGGUAGGAAAUUUGCACUAUCGACCGACCAUGCUCCUACGGGAAAAAGGUUUGAGUGUGAGCACACAUGUUGGGACCCGAAAGAUGGUGAACUAUGCUUGAGUAGGACGAAGCCAGGGGAAACUCUGGUGGAGGUCCGUCGCGAUUCU